UACGAAGGGGGCUAGCGUUGCUCGGAAUCACUGGGCGUAAAGCGCACGUAGGCGGACUCUUAAGUCGGUGGUGAAAUCCUGGAGCUCAACUCCAGAACUGCCUUCGAUACUGAGAGUCUCGAGUCCGGGAGAGGUGAGUGGAAUUGCGAGUGUAGAGGUGAAAUUCGUAGAUAUUCGCAAGAACACCAGUGGCGAAGGCGGCUCACUGGCCCGGUACUGACGCUGAGGUGCGAAAGCGUGGGGAGCAAACAGG
rnacentral:rRNA from 1 species